rnacentral:rRNA from 1 species
UCGAGGAUCUUCGGCAAUGGGCGCAAGCCUGACCGAGCGACGCCGCGUGUGCGAUGAAGGCCUUCGGGUUGUAAAGCACUGUCGAGGGGGAGAAAGCCGCAAGGUUGAUCGACCCCUGGAGGAAGCACGGGCUAAGUUCGUGCCAGCAGCCGCGGUAAGACGAACCGUGCGAACGUUGUUCGGAUUCACUGGGCUUAAAGGGCGCGUAGGCGGGCCGCCAAGUCAGGGGUGAAAUCCCGCAGCUCAACUGCGGAAGUGCCUUUGAUACUGGCGGCCUCGAGGGAGGUAGGGGCAUGCGGAACUUCCGGUGGAGCGGUGAAAUGCGUAGAUAUCGGAAGGAACGCCGGUGGCGAAAGCGGCGUGCUGGACCUCUUCUGACGCUGAGGCGCGAAAGCCAGGGGAGCAAACGG